rnacentral:rRNA from 1 species
GAUGAACGCGGGCGGCGUGCCUAAUACAUGCAAGUCGAGCGAACGGACGAGAAGCUUGCUUCUCUGAUGUUAGCGGCGGACGGGUGAGUAACACGUGGAUAACCUACCUAUAAGACUGGGAUAACUUCGGGAAACCGGAGCUAAUACCGGAUAAUAUUUUGAACCGCAUGGUUCAAAAGUGAAAGACGGUCUUGCUGUCACUUAUAGAUGGAUCCGCGCUGCAUUAGCUAGUUGGUAAGGUAACGGCUUACCAAGGCAACGAUGCAUAGCCGACCUGAGAGGGUGACCGGCCACACUGGAACUGAGACACGGUCCAGACUCCUACGGGAGGCAGCAGUAGGGAAUCUUCCGCAAUGGGCGAAAGCCUGACGGAGCAACGCCGCGUGAGUGAUGAAGGUCUUCGGAUCGUAAAACUCUGUUAUUAGGGAAGAACAUAUGUGUAAGUAACUGUGCACAUCUUGACGGUACCUAAUCAGAAAGCCACGGCUAACUACGUGCCAGCAGCCGCGGUAAUACGUAGGUGGCAAGCGUUAUCCGGAAUUAUUGGGCGUAAAGCGCGCGUAGGCGGUUUCUUAAGUCUGAUGUGAAAGCCCACGGCUCAACCGUGGAGGGUCAUUGGAAACUGGAAAACUUGAGUGCAGAAGAGGAAAGUGGAAUUCCAUGUGUAGCGGUGAAAUGCGCAGAGAUGUGGAGGAACACCAGUGGCGAAGGCGACUUUCUGGUCUGUAACUGACGCUGAUGUGCGAAAGCGUGGGGAUCAAACAGGAUUAGAUACCCUGGUAGUCCACGCCGUAAACGAUGAGUGCUAAGUGUUAGGGGGUUUCCGCCCCUUAGUGCUGCAGCUAACGCAUUAAGCACUCCGCCUGGGGAGUACGACCGCAAGGUUGAAACUCAAAGGAAUUGACGGGGACCCGCACAAGCGGUGGAGCAUGUGGUUUAAUUCGAAGCAACGCGAAGAACCUUACCAAAUCUUGACAUCCUUUGACAACUCUAGAGAUAGAGCCUUCCCCUUCGGGGGACAAAGUGACAGGUGGUGCAUGGUUGUCGUCAGCUCGUGUCGUGAGAUGUUGGGUUAAGUCCCGCAACGAGCGCAACCCUUAAGCUUAGUUGCCAUCAUUAAGUUGGGCACUCUAAGUUGACUGCCGGUGACAAACCGGAGGAAGGUGGGGAUGACGUCAAAUCAUCAUGCCCCUUAUGGUUUGGGCUACACACGUGCUACAAUGGACAAUACAAAGGGCAGCGAAACCGCGAGGUCAAGCAAAUCCCAUAAAGUUGUUCUCAGUUCGGAUUGUAGUCUGCAACUCGACUACAUGAAGCUGGAAUCGCUAGUAAUCGUAGAUCAGCAUGCUACGGUGAAUACGUUCCCGGGUCU